rnacentral:rRNA from 1 species
CAACGAGCGCAACCCUUGUCUUUAGUUGCCAUCAUUAAGUUGGGCACUCUAGAGAGACUGCCAGGGAUAACCUGGAGGAAGGUGGGGAUGACGUCAAAUCAUCAUGCCCCUUAUGCUUAGGGCUACACACGUGCUACAAUGGGUAGUACAGAGGGUUGCCAAGCCGUAAGGUGGAGCUAAUCCCUUAAAGCUACUCUCAGUUCGGAUUGUAGGCUGAAACUCGCCUACAUGAAGCUGGAGGUACUAGUAAUCGCAGAUCAGAAUGCUGCGGUGAAUGCGUUCCCGGGUCUUGUACACACCGCCCGUCACACCACGGGAGUUGGAGACGCCCGAAGCCGACUAUCUAACCUUUUGGAAGAAGUCGUCGAAGGUGGAAUCAAUAACUGGGGUGAAGUCGUAACAAGGUAGCCGUAUCGGAAGGUGCGGCUGGAUCACCUCCUUUCUAAGGA